UGUGUGUCAAGGUCCAGACAUAGGCUGAGCUUCAACAUUUUCUGAAGGCACUUUAGGUGAAGACCCAGGUUUUUGCUCAUACAGUCUCCAAGUUUAGCAGAACCAAGCCCUGAAGUCCCUCUGUGUAUUUCCCUGAUGUAACUUGUGUUUGAUUUGGGUUGUAUCUUUUAUUUAAAUAUUACCAGAGGCAAGGAAUCAGUGAACAAUUUAGGAAGACUGUCCAUGUGAUUUUUCCUCCUUGCUUUUAGAAACCUUUGCUUCUCUUCUGGGUAUGCCUGCUAAUGACAUCUUCCAGCUGUGGGAACUUUCCUGUUUUUGUGUCAUGGAUGAUCAGACUUUUACUCCAAAUCAGGACCCAGCUCACCCCACAUCCAUCUCUUCAACAGACUAAAGAGAUUGAAGUCCUGGGGUCUGUUGUCAAAGGCAUCCUAUUCAAAUUUUUCUUGAUAAAAUAUCACCUGGUGAAGAUGAAGAACUAAUUGUGCAGUGUUAUGGGACCAUAUUGCAUUUUUCUGAUGUUUAAAAAUUGUCAUAAGUGCGUCUUUCAGAGCUAGAAAUGAUGUCAAAUGAUGGAGAGGAGCUCUGGGUCUGGAAGGCACAAGGAAAUGCAUAAAAGAUGAAGGCCUAUUUAUGUUUCUCACACGCACAAAAAACCCUCCAACCAAAAAAACAACCCACCUACAUUAAAGGAACACUAUUCAAGCUACAAAGAGAACCAGCCAGCAUGUGGUCUCUCAGUACCUGCAUAUUAGGAUCCAGGCUUUAAUUACAGGAGUUCAUGCUGCCUUCCCAGAGGCCCCUGCACACUCUCCCUGCACUGGGAGCCGAGCUGUGUGUGGGAGAGGAAUUCCCUUUGCUGGGUUAGCUGGGUUACAGCAGGUACCUCUACCAGGAGCAGUAUAAAUGCAAUAUUAGCACAGCAGAAUGGGCUGAUUUCCUCUCUGCUCAGCAGUUACACUGCUUUAGGGCUCACACAAAGCUGCUUCAGGCAUCUCUCAGAGCAGGAUUGUGGCUCUGGUGUUGUUCUGCUGGUAGGAGCCAUCCAUGUUGUGCAUGGAGAUGAGCCUGGGUGGGGAGCCUUGAGGAAACAGUGAAAGGGGAAACCUGCAGAGGCAGCUUUCCUCGUGCCCCUGGAGUGGCUGUGUGACCUCAGCUCUCUGAAGGUCACUUGCACACAUGCUCACAUCUGUGGGGCUGCUCCUGGGUUCCAGCAGAGCACAUGGCAGUCCCCAGCAGGCCCACCUGGGGGUGACAGGGCCAGCAGCACAGCCAGAGUACAGAGGCUACAGGGAGAAGUGUUUUGGGAUCUAGCCCAGUGAAAGGCUGCCAGCCACAAAGCAUCAGCCAACGUGAGACAUGGGGCCAGAAGGUUCCAGCUGAUGAAGGAGGAGAAACACAAGUGGGAACAUGUGAUUCUCCCCAGACAUUUAUGAAGACACAUGCUAAUAGGGAGAAGGGACUCCUCUUUCCUGCUGUCCCAUCUCCUCUGAAGUGCACUCCUUCCUUUCCCCUAGCUCUGUAUCCUCAUCAGCCAUCCCACCCUAUCUCAGACUUCCCCCUCUGUUCCCAGGAUGCCCAUAUCUUUUCUCUUUACCUCUUCAUCCCAAAAGGUGAGGGACAAAAUGUGUCAUCUCCCAGCCUCUCCCUUUCCAGACUACCUUGCCUGAGAUCUGGUGUGGCAGCCAGCUGGUAUCUGUUGGGCUAGCCCUGGUGGUUAGAGCCUGACAAAAUGUGUCUGAAGCAGGUUUUAGAGAAAGCACCCGUGCCAUGGUGACAGCAGCAGAGACACCCUGUGCCUGAGCAGCCUGGCAGGGGCAGGGCCUCUGUGUUCCUGCAGCCCUGGCUCCUGGUGCCCAUGUGGUUGUGGCCACUGGAGCAUGGCUUGAGGAUCAUUCUGCCUUAUUAAUCAGGAAAAAUAAUUGGCUUGCUUCUCAUGAAUAUCCCUCAGCUCCACCAGCUCUGGGCUUCAUGGUGAGCCAGUUCUGGGAACCAAUUCUGCAGUUAGGAGCAGACAUUCCUGCUGAAGUCAGUGGCUUCUGCUUUCCAUCAGGCAAGGUGCUGGCUCUGAAAUUCCUUGCAGUUGCCCUUUCUCCUGAGGAAGCUCAGUCCAUGCAUGGUUUUGUGGGCCUGUAAGCAUUUCAUAACUUAAUAAUAGGUCAUAUAAAUUCGUUUUUUUGCUCUGCCUUUACUCUUUAGAAAGAUGGAAGUUGUUUUUUAAAAAUAAAGCAUUGCAUAUGCUGUAUGUGGGA